rnacentral:rRNA from 1 species
CCUACGGGAGGCAGCAGUGGGGAAUAUUGCACAAUGGGGGCAACCCUGAUGCAGCGACUCCGCGUGAGUGAAGACGUCUUUCGGUAUGUAAUGCUCUAUCAGCAGGGAAGAAAAUGACGUUACCUAAUUCAAAAGCCCCUGCGAACUACGUGCCAGCAGCCACGGUAAUACGUAGGGGACAAGCGUUCACCGGAUUUACUGGGUGUAACGGGAGCGUAGACGGCAGUACAAGUAGGGAGUGAACUGCCGGGGCUUAACCCCGGAACUGCUUUGGAGACUGUGCAGCUAGAGUGCAGGAGAGGUAAGUGGAAUUCCUAGUGUAGCGGUGAAAUGCGUAGAUAUUAGGAGGAACACCAGUGGCGAAGGCGGCUUACUGGACUGUAACUGACGUUGAGGCUCGAAAGCGUGGGGAGCAAACAGGAUUAGAUACCCGAGUAGUC